GACGAACGCUGGCGGCGUGCUUAACACAUGCAAGUCGAGCGGUAAGGCCCUUUCGGGGGUACACGAGCGGCGAACGGGUGAGUAACACGUGGGUGACCUGCCCUUAGCUCUGGGAUAAGCCUGGGAAACUGGGUCUAAUACCGGAUAUGACUCCAUAACGCAUGUUGUGGGGUGGAAAGCCUUGUGCGGCUAGGGAUGGGCCCGCGGCCUAUCAGCUUGUUGGUGGGGUGAUGGCCACCAAGGCGACGACGGGUAGCCGGCCUGAGAGGGCGACCGGCCACACUGGGACUGAGACACGGCCCAGACUCCUACGGGAGGCAGCAGUGGGGAAUCUUGCGCAAUGGGCGAAAG
rnacentral:rRNA from 1 species